UCUAUAAAUGGGCAGAUUGCAUAAUAUUUGCACCCAUUGGUUUACAUUGCGCCUCGCCAAACGGCUGUGAAAAGUCACAUGGCGUUGCGAUUUGAAACAAUGGCUGACCGCACAGUACGGCGAAGAAGCAGCAGUGGGUGGUUGGGUGCUGCAGGUGGUGCCGGUGGUGCUGGUGGUGCUGGUGGUGUUGCUGGUGGGCCACCGAAGAAGUCACCGCUGCCAGACAGACUGGGCCAAAAACCAUAACCACCGGCACUGGAACCCCGAAUAGAGCUCAUUGCAUAACGCCUGAUGAGCAAUAGUUGCGAUUACUUUCCAUUGUUGAACUGUGACUGUGUCACGCAAAAAACAUCAAAGUGCGGGAUACAUAUGUCUGUUUGGUAUGUUUAGGGAAUUGUGUACUUAGUAACCUUGCACUGAGUGAUCAGAGUUCGCUUGGCUGACUAAGAGAGUUGAGUUGAUUACGAGUGGACCGUGUAAUCAGGCACAACUAGUCAGUAUCUAAAUGCAUUCGUCAUGAGAACACUAAAUUGUGCCUUCAAAAGACCCGUCUGGAUUAUGUAAAUGGGCAUGCGACUACAAUCUACCGUUUUCGUGCCGAAUCAGUCACAGAUUUUCCUUCCAUUUUUUUUUUUUAAUCAUUCGGUUAUGACCUUAGCUACUGCCAAUCGGCGCAUCAAUCGGUGGGUCAUUGAAGUUAAUUUACUGUGAGCGAUAAAUUAACUUCCCUCAAUGGAAUGACAACUUGUUUGAAGCCGCCCUCGUCGGAGCCAACUUGUAAUUACAAUUAGCCGCAGCACUUAGGUUCUAGCUGUUCUGUGAAAAAUGUAUCUUUCGCUUUUGCAAUUGUAAUAAUCAAUAAAUAGCAGAACUCGAUGCAAUCAUCCACUUCUGAAACUCACCCGGAAACUCCUGUGGAAUGAGCAGCGUUUUCUUGCGCUGCGAUGCCUGAGUCUUGGCGUUGUGUCCGUGGUA